rnacentral:lncRNA from 1 species
GGCAACAGAGCGAGACUCUGUCUCAAAAAAAAAAAAAAAAAGGAAUUUACAUAGUUGAACAACUAUUCUUUGGACAUCUUUCAGUCCAGUAGACGGUGUUAAACUUGAAGACAAAUAAUGAUUUGACCUGUGAUAUUUGUUUUUCCCUCUUCUAAGCCCAUUCAUCCAGGUCAUUCAUCACCUUUAAAGGCAUCCCCAGAGGGAGGCAGGUCUGGACAGAGCUGAAGAUUGCACACACCAUUUGCAGGCUGGAUUCGUUCUCUGGUGACCCACCUGUCUGACUCGAGUUAUUUUUUUCCCAUGUCUGGACAAGACUGACCUCUGCCCAGCA